rnacentral:rRNA from 1 species
GAAUAUUGGACAAUGGGCGAAAGCCUGAUCCAGCCAUGCCGCGGGUGUGAAGAAGGUCUUCGGAUUGUACAGCACUCUAAGUCGGGAGGAAGGGCAGUAAGCGAAUACCUUGCUGUUUUGACGAUACCGCCAGAAUAAGCACCGGCUAACUCUGUGCCAGCAGCCGCGUUAAUACAGUGGGUUCAAGCGUUAAUCGGAAUUACUGGGCGUAAAGCGCGCGUAGGUGGUUCGUUAAGUUGGGUGUGAAAUCCCCGGGCUCAACCUGGGAACUGCAUCCAAAACUGGCGAGCUAGAGUAGGGCAGAGGGUGGUGGAAUUUCCUGUGUAGCGGUGAAAUGCGUAGAUAUAGGAAGGAACACCAGUGGCGAAGGCGACCACCUGGGCUCAUACUGACACUGAGGUGCGAAAGCGUGGGGAGCAAACAGG